rnacentral:rRNA from 1 species
GAUGAACGCUAGCGACAGGCCUAACACAUGCAAGGUCGAGGGGCAGCACAUGAGUAGCAAUACGAUGGUGGCGACCGGCGCACGGGUGAGUAACACGUAUGCAACCUACCUGUAAGAGGGGAAUAACCCGGAGAAAUUCGGACUAACACCGCAUAAUACUGCGAAGCUGCAUGGCUUUGCAGUUAAAUAUUUAUAGCUUACAGAUGGGCAUGCGUAACAUUAGAUAGUUGGUGAGGUAACGGCUCACCAAGUCAACGAUGUUUAGGGGUUCUGAGAGGAAGGUCCCCCACACUGGUACUGAGACACGGACCAGACUCCUACGGGAGGCAGCAGUGAGGAAUAUUGGUCAAUGGGCGAGAGCCUGAACCAGCCAAGUCGCGUGAAGGAAGAAGGUUCUAUGGAUUGUAAACUUCUUUUGUAAGGGAAUAAAAAGAGUUACGUGUAACUUAUUGUAUGUACUUUACGAAUAAGGAUCGGCUAACUCCGUG